AUUGAACGCUGGCGGCAUGCCUUACACAUGCAAGUCGAACGGUAACGGGCCUUCGGGUGCCGACGAGUGGCGAACGGGUGAGUAAUGCAUCGGAACGUACCUUUCAGUGGGGGAUAACGUAGCGAAAGUUACGCUAAUACCGCAUAUUCUGUGAGCAGGAAAGCAGGGGAUCGCAAGACCUUGCGCUGAUUGAGCGGCCGAUGUCAGAUUAGCAAGUUGGUGAGGUAAAGGCUCACCAAGGCGACGAUCUGUAGCGGGUCUGAGAGGAUGAUCCGCCACACUGGAACUGAGACACGGUCCAGACUCCUACGGGAGGCAGCAGUGGGGAAUUUUGGACAAUGGGGGCAACCCUGAUCCAGCCAUGCCGCGUGAGUGAAGAAGGCCUCGGUUGUAAA
rnacentral:rRNA from 1 species